CUCCCUGUAGCUCAGUUGGUAGAGCAUGGUGUUUGCAACGCCAGGGUUGUGGAUUCGAUUUCCACGGGGGGC
rnacentral:tRNA from 1 species